UUCCAAAGUGUCGAGUUCAGCACAGGGCAGCUUCUCUGUUCUGUUAAACUUUGGAACACUGAAAUACGACGCAAGUGAUAAUUGGGUAAAAAA
rnacentral:snoRNA from 1 species